rnacentral:rRNA from 1 species
GACAGAGGGUGCAAACGUUGUUCGGAAUUACUGGGCGUAAAGAGUGCGUAGGCGGUUUUCUAAGUUUGGUGUGAAAUCUCCCAGCUCAACUGGGAGGGUGCGCCGAAGACUGGAAGGCUUGAGUAUGGGAGAGGUAAGCGGAAUUCCUGGUGUAGCGGUGAAAUGCUUAGAUAUUACAUGGAAUACCAAUUGCGAAGGCAGGUUACUACUAAUGGAUCUACGCUGAUGGACGAAAGCGUGGGGAGCGAACAGG